AUGAACGCUGGCGGCGUGCCUAAUACAUGCAAGUCGAGCGAACAGACGAGGAGCUUGCUCCUCUGACGUUAGCGGCGGACGGGUGAGUAACACGUGGAUAACCUACCUAUAAGACUGGGAUAACUUCGGGAAACCGGAGCUAAUACCGGAUAACAUGUUGAACCGCAUGGUUUAACAGUGAAAGACGGUCUUGCUGUCACUUAUAGAUGGAUCCGCGCCGCAUUAGCUAGUUGGUAAGGUAACGGCUUACCAAGGCAGCGAUGCGUAGCCGACCUGAGAGGGUGAUCGGCCACACUGGAACUGAGACACGGUCCAGACUCCUACGGGAGGCAGCAGUAGGGAAUCUUCCGCAAUGGGCGAAAGCCUGACGGAGCAACGCCGCGUGAGUGAAGAAGGUCUUCGGAUCGUAAAACUCUGUUAUUAGGGAAGAACAAAUGUGUAAGUAACUAUGCACGUCUUGACGGUACCUAAUCAGAAGCCACGGCUAACUACGUG
rnacentral:rRNA from 1 species